UCCGGCACGAACGGGCGACGACAAAUCCGGACGGUGCAGAAUUCCAGCAGAACGCCCCAUCCCACGAGACCGGACAGUGGGCUUGGCUAUCUGAAAGACGAACGGGACGAAGCAAACUUGCAAGUCUAGAACUCGGAAAAAAUUACGAGCAAAGAAGGCGUCAAUGGGUUUGGUGUCUCAGAAACGCGUACGUUAAGGGCACGUCUCAAAGGGGAAAAGGAACGCGUUGGGCCAGUGCUGGAAGUACAUACAUCUUUUAUAUGAGCUUCGACUAUACGCAGUUGUACAGCGAUGACCCAUGCAACUCAAUAGAAACCGUAUCUGUGAUGGGCACAGGCUCGACUUCUGCCUACCGCUAACUAACUGACGAUAACAAAGACGAGAUGAUGAUAUCAAGCCUUUCAUCCCAAACUGAGAAGCCAUCCGAACC